rnacentral:rRNA from 1 species
AAUUCGAAGCAACGCGAAGAACCUUACCAGGUCUUGACACCCCGAUGCUAUUUCUAGAGAUAGAAAGUUACUUCGGUACAUCGGUGACAGGUGGUGCAUGGUUGUCGUCAGCUCGUGUCGUGAGAUGUUGGGUUAAGUCCCGCAACGAGCGCAACCCCUAUUGUUAGUUGCCAUCAUUCAGUUGGGCACUCUAGCGAGACUGCCGGUAAUAAACCGGAGGAAGGUGGGGAUGACGUCAAAUCAUCAUGCCCCUUAUGACCUGGGCUACACACGUGCUACAAUGGUUGGUACAACGAGUUGCGAGUCGGUGACGGCGAGCUAAUCUCUUAAAGCCAAUCUCAGUUCGGAUUGUAGGCUGCAACUCGCCUACAUGAAGUCGGAAUCGCUAGUAACCGCAGGUCAGCAUACUGCGGUGAAUACGUUCCCGGGCCUU